GAUGAACGCUGGCGGCGUGCCUAAUACAUGCAAGUCGAGCGAACGGACGAGAAGCUUGCUUCUCUGAUGUUAGCGGCGGACGGGUGAGUAACACGUGGAUAACCUACCUAUAAGACUGGGAUAACUUCGGGAAACCGUAGCUAAUACCGGAUAAUAUUUUGAACCGCAUGGUUCAAAAGUGAAAGACGGUCUUGCUGUCACUUAUAGAUGGAUCCGCGCUGCAUUAGCUAGUUGGUAAGGUAACGGCUUACCAAGGCAACGAUGCAUAGCCGACCUGAGAGGGUGAUCGGCCACACUGGAACUGAGACACGGUCCAGACUCCUACGGGAGGCAGCAGUAGGGAAUCUUCCGCAAUGGGCGAAAGCCUGACGGAGCAACGCCGCGUGAGUGAUGAAGGUCUUCGGAUCGUAAAACGCUGUUAUUAGGGAAGAACAUAUGUGUAGGUAACUGUGCACAUCUUGACGGUACCUAAGCAGAAAGCCACGGCUAACUACGU
rnacentral:rRNA from 1 species